GACGAACGCUGGCGGCGUGCUUAACACAUGCAAGUCGAACGGAAAGGCCCUGCUUUUGUGGGGUGCUCGAGUGGCGAACGGGUGAGUAACACGUGAGUAACCUGCCCUUGACUUUGGGAUAACUUCAGGAAACUGGGGCUAAUACCGGAUAGGAGCUCCUGCCGCAUGGUGGGGGUUGGAAAGUUUCGGCGGUUGGGGCUGGACUCGCGGCUUAUCAGCUUGUUGGUGGGGUAGUGGCUUACCAAGGCUUUGACGGGUAGCCGGCCUGAGAGGGUGACCGGCCACAUUGGGACUGAGAUACGGCCCAGACUCCUACGGGAGGCAGCAGUGGGGAAUAUUGCACAAUGGGCGGAAGCCUGUUGCAGCAACGCCGCGUGCGGGAUGACGGCCUUCGGGUUGUAAACCGCUUUCGCCUGUGACGAAGCGUGAGUGACGGUAAUGGGUAAAGAAGCACCGGCUAACUACGUG
rnacentral:rRNA from 1 species